UUAGCUUUUACACAGAUUAGGGACUCAUGUUUAUGUUUGUCUUCUUUAAGGUCCAUGACACAACCAGCUAACGGUCGCACCCCCGGUGCUUUUCCGGUGUUUCACAGCUGGAAUUAGUCAGACCCUUGUCUCUUUUCUGCUGAUUCAGCACGUUGAAGAGACGAGGGAACGAGGCGGCUGGAGAGAUCUCUUUGAUUGCUUUUUCACCUUAACGAAUCAGCUCACAGACCCGAGAGGUGUAACGUGACCUUUGUUUCUGGUAGUCCUCAGAUUUUAGUUUGAUGUGUCUGUACCUUAAAGAGCAAACGGUCUCAGUAGGUUGGAUGAGCUUAUCUACCCUUUUAAUAAAUACUACGACAUACACACA